rnacentral:lncRNA from 1 species
GGGAGCUUUGUUACUUAGAGAGGCAAAGAAGGAUUAUCCAUCUUUGUUGUCUUGUACCUUCAAAGGAGAUAAAGAGAAAAAUACUCUCUUAAUUCUCUUAUAAUUAAGAGGCAAAAGAAAUCAAUCGGAUUGUUGAUUGUUAUUCUUUUGAUCGUCUUUUUAUUGGAAGAACAACAGGAUGUUCGAAAAAUAAUCGAUCCCCUUUUGAUUCUAUUCAGAGUCGAAU